rnacentral:rRNA from 1 species
CCCUUAGAUGUCCUGGGCCGCACGCGCGUUACACUGAUGCAUUCAACGAGCUUAUAACCUUGGCCGAGAGGCCUGGGCAAUCUUGUUAACGUGCAUCGUGAUAGGGAUAGAUUAUUGAAAUUAUUAAUCUUGAACGAGGAAUUCCUAGUAAACGCAGAUCAUCAAUCUGCAUUGAUUACGUCCCUGCCCUUUGUACACACCGCCCGUCGUUUCUUCCGACUGAUACGAAUUGUGAGUUGCAAGGACCUUCAGGGGGAAUUGCCGCGAAUGCUUCGUAUUGGAGGAAGAAAAAGUCGUAACA